CAGGCCUUUGCCUCAGCUUAGUGACCUAUUUCUUCUGCUUUGGUCCAACCCACAUGAGUUUUCAGAAGGUUCUCUCAGCAUGAUAGAUGUGAAAUGGCUUCAUUCACUAUAAAAGCCUCUAUAGACAUCCAGGAUUUGAUCCAACAAACAUUUAUUGAGCAACUGUUGUGUGCUAUGCACCACGCCUAAUGCUGUGAUGGAUACAGAUGAAUAAAACAGUGCCUGCCCUUGGCAGGGUUACAGUCUACGAACAGACAUAGGACAAGUGCACAAGUAGCUAUAAUACAAGGCAGAAUAUGGUAAGUGCCGUGAGAAAGGGAGAAAUAAAGUGCUGUGGUGGUUCUGUGGGGGGAGAGGUCCCAGCAUUGAUGGACUGGGGAGGGCUUCAUGGAGGAUGUGGUCUCUGCAUGCGCCUUGGAAGAAACUCAAGAAUGAUCCAGAAGAUGCAAACUGCAAGGCCAAAGGCACGGGGCCAGGAAACACGGUGCUUUUCCAAUACUGACAACUCUUCUGGAUUGACCAUUGCAGGGUAUGAAGGGACCUGAUUGGGUGUAAUGUCAGGAUAAAGACAGGCACAUUUUUGUGGGCCAGGAGAUCUUAGCAAAGUUCACGAAGAGCUGGAGUUACAUACCAUUGAGCAUGCUCAGGGAGGUCUGGGAGAGGAGACCACUACUCAGGUGGUCCAACGGACAAGUAGAGGUGAGGUUGGGACUAGUUGGAAAGAGUAAUGAGGGAAUACAUGGAUGAGUCAGUGGCUAUCUUAGGGACCCAGACUGUGUUGAAAGAAUCAUUGGUAUUCCAACCAGAAAAUAGGGGAUCAUGCUGGGAAGAUAGAUGGUCUACUUAGCUUCAGAUGUCUUGAGCUCAAGAUGUCAGAGCAGAUUAAGUAUGCUUAACAAGCAGUGUAUCUUCUUGGAACUGGGAGCUUCUAGUGGAGCUAAACAGCUAAGGGGAGUUGAGGGUAUUCUUUGGGUAGUGGCAGUUGGGUCUGAAGGAAAGCAUGCAACUAUGGAUGCAUGGCUUAUAGGACUUCAGGGAGGACCUUGUUGGAAGGAAUGGUUACUUUGUGGUACCGGGAGAAGAGAGGGGAAAAUGGGCAGAUCUUCCUUGGCUCCUUUCAGCUCAAGGUAGGAAUGCCAAUAAAUACCUCAUAAAUACAUAAAUAAAUAUAUAAAUACGUGGUCAUGGAGGUUGGGAUGGGAGGGGUAAAAAUCUUAAGAACAUAGUGUUUUGCCCAGGAGAAUUCACCAUAGGGCUUUGCAAUGAGAGAGGCCUUUCAAUUUAGCACAUGGAGGUGGCUAUAGAUGCUGGUCCUAGGAGUAGGCUAGGAGGGAACAUUAAGGUGUGGUACGGGGGAUUGGUGGCAGUAGGGACUGCAGAUGCUGCCAAGGUCUGGUGGUAGAGGAGUUAAGUGGAGAGGCUCUAGGAAUCAGGGUGAAUGCAAGAGGGGCUGGGAAAAGUCUGAGGGCAGGAGAGGAAAGACUACUUGCCUACAGGAGAAGCCUCACUUGUGGAAGAAUGAAGGUUAAGUGGGAGGGAGAGGCCAAGAGAAUAUGAGAAAAGGUCUGAUGUCAAAUGGCCUUUUUUUGGUGAUAGCAGAGGCUGAGGGUGGGGCCACUGGGGGUUCAGAGUAAAUGGAGGUCUGGCAGGCUUAGGCGGGCAGACUGAGGAGGUUACUGAUAGCCAACAGUAGAGGGGACUGGCUGAGGCUGCUGUGAUGUUACGUGGCAGCUAUGAGUUUAAGAGUGAAGGCUGUGUCUCCCCAAGGCCAGCCAAAGUCAACCAGUUUAUGUUAAAAGACUUCAAUAGAACCCAGCCCCAAGUGAGUUCUCAGUAAGUAGUAGAGGACACUUGGCUGCUGAUUGGAGAAGAAUGGCAAGAGGGAAAACCAAGGCCCAUAGAGAUCUUGCAGUUACAUGCCCAGAUCAUUCUAAUAGGCCAGGUCUGCUAAGUUAGGGAAAGGGCAUAUAUGGGUGGUCCUGGGACCUCUGCCUUUUCCCAUCAGGUUAUAGCCUGUGUAAGCCCAGUUAGACAAAUGGCCCUCUAACUCUUCACAGAGAGGAUGCUGGGUGGUGCUCAUGGUCAUGUCCAGUACCUGACCUCUGCAGCCUUCUGUAUGACUCCACGUGGGGUGUUCUGACAUCCAAGGGCUUUCCUAAUGCAGAGCCCUGGUGGUGAUUGUACCUAUUCCUCCAGGACACCGCAGACUUUGGAAAUUAAGUGUCUUCUAGAGCCGUUGAGAGCCUUCAGAUGGAAAGCUCUGGACACAUGUAAAAUAUGAUACUAAUUAUCUCCGCUGCUCAUGAGGAGGCUGAACCACUCAGCUCCCAGGGAGGCUGUUAUGGCUGUUACUUUUUAAAAUAUUCAUUUUAUGACGCAAAUCCCAAAUCACAAGCUUCAUACUGCAACAAGAACAAAGAGAGAAACAUAGAGAUAUACAGUCCUCAGCCUGCGUGGGGCUGGAGGGACUGUACGCAGGGUUAAUGGUUCUAGGGUAUCCCUCCAUUGUCUUUGCUCACUUCCCAUCAGCCAUUAAUUUAGAGCAAGCAUCGUGUUCUGAAUGGCUGUUGAUUAAUUACGUCAGGCCUCAUACGCUUGGGAGAGGAUCUUGAUUACUUUUUUUUUUUAACUCUCUUCACCUUCAAGAUAAUAGUGUUUUGUUUUGUUUUUUUUUACAUUUAUCUUUCAAAUAUGUUUUAAAACACCAUUAUUUAUCAGGCGAGGGAAUUAGGGAAUUGCAUCUAACACAUCAAGCUGGCUAAUGCUUUGCACUGUGUGACCUGUAAGUCCAACCCCUAAGUUGUUGGCAUCAAGCCCAGAUUUCCCCUGGAGAUUAUGUCCAGUGUUUGGACCUGUGUUUGGCUUUGGGCUUUUUACAAGAAAAACAAGUCUUAAGUGGGAGCCCUAACAGAGGGGAGAAGGCUUUUGCAAAAACUCUGCAGUGGUUGGUGGUGUAGGGGUGUGAGGGUGGGGAGGGAUGUAGGGUGGACACUGGAACCUCUCCCAGAAGAGCUUGGUGUGGGCAGGGAUGACUCAAAAUGGGAAAGUGACAAGGUGACAUUGACACAGCAGGCUGGCUGCAGGGGACUCUCAGAGUGCAGGAUGCAGAAA
rnacentral:sRNA from 1 species